rnacentral:rRNA from 1 species
CAAGCGGUGGAUCAUGUUGUUUAAUUCGACGAUACGCGAAGAACCUUACCAGGUCUUGACAUCCCCUGCAAAGCUAUGGAGACAUAGUGGAGGUUAUCAGGGAGACAGGUGGUGCAUGGUUGUCGUCAGCUCGUGUCGUGAGAUGUUGGGUUAAGUCCCGCAACGAGCGCAACCCUUAUUGCUAGUUACCAUCAUUAAGUUGGGGACUCUAGCGAGACUGCCAGUGAUAAACUGGAGGAAGUGGGGAUGACGUCAAAUCAUCAUGCCCCUUACGACCUGGGCUACAAACGUGAUACAAUGGCUGAAACAAAGGGCAGCGAAGGAGCGAUCUGGAGCGAAACCCAAAAAAGCAGUCUCAGUUCGGAUUGAAGUCUGCAACUCGACUUCAUGAAGUCGGAAUCGCUAGUAAUCGCAGGUCAGCAUACUGCGGUGAAUACGUUCCCGGGCCUU